UGGCGGCGUGCUUAACACAUGCAAGUCGCGUGCGCAGUUCGCGUAGCAAUACGUGGAUGGGCGCACGGCGCACGGGUGCGUAACACGUGGGCAAUCUGCCCUCCGAUGGGGAAUAACCCCGCGAAAGCGGGGCUAAUACCGCGUAACAUUCCUUGGACGAUGGUUCGAGGAUUCAAAGCAGUAAUGCGUCGGAGGAGGAGCCCGCGCCCGAUUAGCUAGUUGGUGAGGUAACGGCUCACCAAGGCAAUGAUCGGUAGCUGGUCUGAGAGGAUGAUCAGCCACACUGGAACUGAGACACGGUCCAGACUCCUACGGGAGGCAGCAGUGGGGAAUCUUGCGCAAUGGGCGAAAGCCUGACGCAGCGACGCCGCGUGGGGGAUGAAGCUUUUCGGAGUGUAAACCCCUUUCGACUGGGACGAAUGCCCGCAAGGGAGUGACGGUACCAGUAGAAGAAGCCCCGGCUAACUACGUGCCAGCAGCCGCGGUAAGACGUAGGGGGCCAGCGUUGUUCGGAAUUACUGGGUGUAAAGGGUUCGUAGGCGGUGCGGCAAGUUGGGAGUGAAAUCUCUGGGCUUAACCCAGAGGCUGCUUCCAAAACUGCUGUGCUUGAGUGUGGGAGAGGCGCGUGGAAUUGCAGGUGUAGCGGUGAAAUGCGUAGAUAUCUGCAGGAACACCCGUGGCGAAAGCGGCGCGCUGGACCACAACUGACGCUGAGGA
rnacentral:rRNA from 1 species